AGGUCGUCUGACUACUAUAUUAUAGCUGAAACUUUCAACAAACGGAUCUCUUGGUUCUGGCAUCGAUGAAGAACGCACCGAAAUGCGAUAAGUAAUGUGCNUUGCAGAAUUCAGUGAAUCAUCGAAUCCUUGAAUCCACAAUGCGCACCAUGGUAUUCC
rnacentral:rRNA from 1 species